UAUUUAUUAGAUAACAGACCAAUAUUCCUCGUGUCUAUUGUGGUGACUCAUAGUAACUGAUCGGAUCGCAUGGCCUUGUGCCGCGACUAACCAUUCAAGUUUCUGACCCAUCAGCUUUCGAUGGUAGUGUAUUGGACUACCAUGGCUUUCACGGGUAACGGAGGAUUAGGGUUCGAUUCCGGAGAGGGAGCCUGAGAAACGGCUACCACAUCUAAGGAAGGCAGCAGGCGCGUAAAUUACCCAAUCCUGACUCAGGGAGGUAGUGACAAGAAAUAACGGGUCGGGGCAUUCGCCUCGGGAUUGCAAUGAAUCGAAUUUACACCCCUUAAUGAGGAUCAAUUGGAGGGCAAGUCUGGUGCCAGCAGCCGCGGUAAUUCCAGCUCCAAUAGCGUAUAUUAAAGUUGUUGCAGUUAAAAAGCUCGUAGUUUGAUUUCUGGACGGGCGCCAACACCCGCUUGUUUAGUGUGGAGGCGGCGCCCGCCCAUCCUUCUGUUAACGCCACCGGCAUUCAUUUGCUGGCGGCGGGCUCAGAUAUUUUUACCUUGAGAAAAUUAGAGUGUUUCAGGCAGGCUUGCG
rnacentral:rRNA from 1 species